UACAGGGGGUGCAAACGUUGCUCGGAAUUAUUGGGCGUAAAGCGCGCGUAGGCGGCCACUUAAGUCGGAUGUGAAAGCCCCUGGCUCAACUGGGGAAGUGCACCCGAAACUGAAUGGCUUGAAUGCAAAAGAGGGUCGCGGAAUUCCCGGUGUAGAGGUGAAAUUCGUAGAUAUCGGGAGGAACACCAGUGGCGAAGGCGGCCUUCUGGGCCUACCCUGACGCUGAGGAGCGAAAGCGUGGGGAGCAAACCGG
rnacentral:rRNA from 1 species